GAUUAAGUUAUUAAGGGCGCACGGUGGAUGCCUUGGCACUAGAAGCCGAUGAAGGACGUUACUAACGACGAUAUGCUUUGGGGAGCUGUAAGUAAGCUUUGAUCCAGAGAUUUCCGAAUGGGGAAACCCAGCAUGAGUUAUGUCAUGUUAUCGAUAUGUGAAUACAUAGCAUAUCAGAAGGCACACCCGGAGAACUGAAACAUCUUAGUACCCGGAGGAAGAGAAAGAAAAUUCGAUUCCCUUAGUAGCGGCGAGCGAAACGGGAAGAGCCCAAACCAACAAGCUUGCUUGUUGGGGUUGUAGGACACUCUAUACGGAGUUACAAAGGACGACAUUAGACGAAUCAUCUGGAAAGAUGAAUCAAAGAAGGUAAUAAUCCUGUAGUCGAAAAUGUUGUCUCUCUUGAGUGGAUCCUGAGUACGACGGAUCACGUGAAAUUCCGUCGGAAUCUGGGAGGACCAUCUCCUAAGGCUAAAUACUCUCUAGUGACCGAUAGUGAACCAGUACCGUGAGGGAAAGGUGAAAAGCACCCCGGAAGGGGAGUGAAAUAGAACCUGAAACCGUGUGCUUACAAGUAGUCAGAGCCCGUUAAUGGGUGAUGGCGUGCCUUUUGUAGAAUGAACCGGCGAGUUACGAUUUGAUGCAAGGUUAAGCAGUAAAUGUGGAGCCGUAGCGAAAGCGAGUCUGAAUAGGGCGUUUAGUAUUUGGUCGUAGACCCGAAACCAGGUGAUCUACCCUUGGUCAGGUUGAAGUUCAGGUAACACUGAAUGGAGGACCGAACCGACUUACGUUGAAAAGUGAGCGGAUGAACUGAGGGUAGCGGAGAAAUUCCAAUCGAACCUGGAGAUAGCUGGUUCUCUCCGAAAUAGCUUUAGGGCUAGCCUCAAGUGAUGAUUAUUGGAGGUAGAGCACUGUUUGGACGAGGGGCCCCUCUCGGGUUACCGAAUUCAGACAAACUCCGAAUGCCAAUUAAUUUAACUUGGGAGUCAGAACAUGGGUGAUAAGGUCCGUGUUCGAAAGGGAAACAGCCCAGACCACCAGCUAAGGUCCCAAAAUAUAUGUUAAGUGGAAAAGGAUGUGGCGUUGCCCAGACAACUAGGAUGUUGGCUUAGAAGCAGCCAUCAUUUAAAGAGUGCGUAAUAGCUCACUAGUCGAGUGACACUGCGCCGAAAAUGUACCGGGGCUAAACAUAUUACCGAAGCUGUGGAUUGUCCUUUGGACAAUGGUAGGAGAGCGUUCUAAGGGCGUUGAAGCAUGAUCGUAAGGACAUGUGGAGCGCUUAGAAGUGAGAAUGCCGGUGUGAGUAGCGAAAGACGGGUGAGAAUCCCGUCCACCGAUUGACUAAGGUUUCCAGAGGAAGGCUCGUCCGCUCUGGGUUAGUCGGGUCCUAAGCUGAGGCCGACAGGCGUAGGCGAUGGAUAACAGGUUGAUAUUCCUGUACCACCUAUAAUCGUUUUAAUCGAUGGGGGGACGCAGUAGGAUAGGCGAAGCGUGCGAUUGGAUUGCACGUCUAAGCAGUAAGGCUGAGUAUUAGGCAAAUCCGGUACUCAUUAAGGCUGAGCUGUGAUGGGGAGAAGACAUUGUGUCUUCGAGUCGUUGAUUUCACACUGCCGAGAAAAGCCUCUAGAUAGAAAAUAGGUGCCCGUACCGCAAACCGACACAGGUAGUCAAGAUGAGAAUUCUAAGGUGAGCGAGCGAACUCUCGUUAAGGAACUCGGCAAAAUGACCCCGUAACUUCGGGAGAAGGGGUGCUCUUUAGGGUUAACGCCCAGAAGAGCCGCAGUGAAUAGGCCCAAGCGACUGUUUAUCAAAAACACAGGUCUCUGCUAAACCGUAAGGUGAUGUAUAGGGGCUGACGCCUGCCCGGUGCUGGAAGGUUAAGAGGAGUGGUUAGCUUCUGCGAAGCUACGAAUCGAAGCCCCAGUAAACGGCGGCCGUAACUAUAACGGUCCUAAGGUAGCGAAAUUCCUUGUCGGGUAAGUUCCGACCCGCACGAAAGGCGUAACGAUUUGGGCACUGUCUCAACGAGAGACUCGGUGAAAUCAUAGUACCUGUGAAGAUGCAGGUUACCCGCGACAGGACGGAAAGACCCCGUGGAGCUUUACUGUAGCCUGAUAUUGAAAUUCGGCACAGCUUGUACAGGAUAGGUAGGAGCCUUUGAAACGUGAGCGCUAGCUUACGUGGAGGCGCUGGUGGGAUACUACCCUAGCUGUGUUGGCUUUCUAACCCGCACCACUUAUCGUGGUGGGAGACAGUGUCAGGCGGGCAGUUUGACUGGGGCGGUCGCCUCCUAAAAGGUAACGGAGGCGCUCAAAGGUUCCCUCAGAAUGGUUGGAAAUCAUUCAUAGAGUGUAAAGGCAUAAGGGAGCUUGACUGCGAGACCUACAAGUCGAGCAGGGUCGAAAGACGGACUUAGUGAUCCGGUGGUUCCGCAUGGAAGGGCCAUCGCUCAACGGAUAAAAGCUACCCCGGGGAUAACAGGCUUAUCUCCCCCAAGAGUUCACAUCGACGGGGAGGUUUGGCACCUCGAUGUCGGCUCAUCGCAUCCUGGGGCUGUAGUCGGUCCCAAGGGUUGGGCUGUUCGCCCAUUAAAGCGGUACGCGAGCUGGGUUCAGAACGUCGUGAGACAGUUCGGUCCCUAUCCGUCGUGGGCGUAGGAAAUUUGAGAGGAGCUGUCCUUAGUACGAGAGGACCGGGAUGGACAUACCUCUGGUGUACCAGUUGUCGUGCCAACGGCAUAGCUGGGUAGCUAUGUGUGGACGGGAUAAGUGCUGAAAGCAUCUAAGCAUGAAGCCCCCCUCAAGAUGAGAUUUCCCAACUUCGGUUAUAAGAUCCCUCAAAGAUGAUGAGGUUAAUAGGUUCGAGGUGGAAGCAUGGUGACAUGUGGAGCUGACGAAUACUAA
rnacentral:rRNA from 1 species